rnacentral:rRNA from 1 species
GACAUAGGUGGCAAACGUUAUCCGGAUUUAUUGGGCGUAAAGGAUGCGUAGAUGGUAAGAUAAGUUAUUGGUCGAGGUCAAGCUCAACUUGGCGGAAGCUAAUAAUACUGUCUUGCUUAGAGAGCAGGAGAGGUUGACGGAACUCCCGGUGGAGCGGUGAAAUGCGUAGAUAUCGGGAAGAACACCAAAAAGGCGAAGGCAGUUAACUAUUCUGUUUCUGACAUUGAGGCAUGAAAGCGUGGGGAGCAAACCGG